GGGAGCUUGCUCCCUGAUGUUAGCGGCGGACGGGUGAGUAACACGUGGGUAACCUGCCUGUAAGACUGGGAUAACUCCGGGAAACCGGGGCUAAUACCGGAUGCUUGUUUGAACCGCAUGGUUCAGACAUAAAAGGUGGCUUCGGCUACCACUUACAGAUGGACCCGCGGCGCAUUAGCUAGUUGGUGAGGUAACGGCUCACCAAGGCAACGAUGCGUAGCCGACCUGAGAGGGUGAUCGGCCACACUGGGACUGAGACACGGCCCAGACUCCUACGGGAGGCAGCAGUAGGGAAUCUUCCGCAAUGGACGAAAGUCUGACGGAGCAACGCCGCGUGAGUGAUGAAGGUUUUCGGAUCGUAAAGCUCUGUUGUUAGGGAAGAACAAGUGCCGUUCAAAUAGGGCGGCACCUUGACGGUACCUAACCAGAAAGCCACGGCUAACUACGUGCCAGCAGCCGCGGUAAUACGUAGGUGGCAAGCGUUGUCCGGAAUUAUUGGGCGUAAAGGGCUCGCAGGCGGUUUCUUAAGUCUGAUGUGAAAGCCCCCGGCUCAACCGGGGAGGGUCAUUGGAAACUGGGGAACUUGAGUGCAGAAGAGGAGAGUGGAAUUCCACGUGUAGCGGUGAAAUGCGUAGAGAUGUGGAGGAACACCAGUGGCGAAGGCGACUCUCUGGUCUGUAACUGACGCUGAU
rnacentral:rRNA from 1 species